rnacentral:ncRNA from 1 species
GUGUUGUAUGAAAGGAGAGAAGGUUAGCACUCCCCUUGACAAGGAGGGGAGAGGCCCUUGGGUGAAGGAUGCAGCUAAGGAAUUGCCACCUACUUUAUGGCACCUAACCAGAGUGUUUU